GGAGGGCGCAAGCGUUGUUCGGAAUCACUGGGCGUAAAGCGCGUGUAGGCGGCCGGGCAAGUCGGAUGUGAAAUCCCGAGGCUCAACCUCGGAACUGCAUUCGAAACUGCUCGGCUCGAGUCCCGGAGAGGAUGGCAGAAUUCCCGGUGUAGGGGUGAAAUCCGUAGAUAUCGGGAGGAAUACCAGUGGCGAAGGCGGCCAUCUGGACGGUGACUGACGCUGAGACGCGAAAGCGUGGGGAGCAAACAGGAUUAGAUACCCUGGUAGUCCACGCCGUAAACGGUGAGUGCUAGACGUCGCGGGUAUUGACCCCCGCGGUGUCGAAGCUAACGCGUUAAGCACUCCGCCUGGGGAGUACGGCCGCAAGGCUA
rnacentral:rRNA from 1 species